rnacentral:rRNA from 1 species
CUCACCAGGUCAGGACACGGUAAGGAUUGACGGACUGAAGGCUCUUUCUCGAUUCCGUGGAAAGUGGUGCAUGGCCGUUUUUGGUUGGUGGAUCGAUCCGUCUGGUUAAUUCCGUUAACGAACGAGACCUCGGCACUCCGAAUAGCGCGGCGGACGUCGCGGCCUCCGGGCCGUCUUCCGCACGAGCUUCUUAGAGGGGACCGUCCCCCGCCGGGGAAGGAGGUGCGAGGCAACGACAGGUCUGUGAUGCCCUUAGAUGUUCUGGGCCGCACGCGCAUUACACUGACGCGUCCAACGGGUGACUCCCGACCCGAAGGGGCCGGGGAAUCCGCAAGGCGCGUCGUGAUGGGGAUUGAACGUUGCAAUUGUUGUUCACGAACGAGGAAUUCCUAGUAGGCGCGGGUCAUCAACCCCGCGCCGAUUACGUCCCUGCCCUUUGUACACACCGCCCA